rfam:Ovis aries breed Texel chromosome 1, whole genome shotgun sequence.
UCCCCCAUAUCUCAGUUGGUAAAGAAUCUGCCUGCAAUGCAGGAGACCCUGGUUCAAUUCCUGGGUUGGGAA